GACUCAGUGGUGUAAUGGAAACACUCCAGCUUGUAUUAAGAAUUGAUCCAGGAUGAGCUGGUGAUCUCCGUUCGACUCGGGGUUGGGUCA